ACACGCCUCAGGCUGCUAACAUGUAAAUACAACCCAUGUAAGGCGAUUUAUUUACUGAAUGUAGUUCCGUCAGUCAAGUUUAGUCAUUUCUUCCUCUUGGCCUCAUAUCCACAAAGCAUGUUUUUGUGUCAGCUUUCCUGUGUGAGUGUGUUUUAUCUGUCCCCACACAAAGAUUUUCCUGCUAAACCUGCAAAAAAAUCUCACACUUUCUGUGUUUUGACUGAAAUACUGGCCAUCUUUUGCCUCCCACACACACAUCUCACUUAAUUAAAGGCUCCGAGUCUGUGGAAGGAGGGGGAAACACAUUUGAAGCUGGCUGUCUCUCUCCGCAUUCUUUCACUAUUCGCCCACGCUCUUAAAGAAACAGUGCUCGAGUUUCAUAUCGCAUGCUUGACUCCCACGAGUUUCAGUCUUUGAUGAUAAGAUCAUGAGCUAAAGUUGCAUACUGCUCCAUAAAAGAAGGUGUGAUCAGGUAUAUUUUUUCGCAUUCCUGCAGCACCAGCACCAAACCUGGGAUCGGACUCCUUCAGAAUAAAAGCUCCACAAAAGUCAGCUGAUUAAAAUACAGAUUUAGGGGCUUGAGUUGAGCCACGUCCGAAGCAUAGUCAGUCUUCAGGUGAUCUCAAGUCUUACAACCUGAGCACAUAGCACAGAGCAGAGGAAAUAAAUGCCCAUAACAUAUGCACAUAAAAAGUAGAACAUGAAAGUUCAGCAUGUUGAGCUCUGCAACAUGAGUGGCAAAGUGGCAAGCUAGAACAAAACAGAUCUGCCCACUAGUCUGACAGUGGAGAUGCAAGAAUGGUUUGAAAAAAUGUGAACUUUUAAUCCGUCGGGAAAAAUGUUUACAUAAAUUGGAAACUGCUGUGAAAUGUGUAUGAAAUGCCUUUUCAACUCAGGCUUCAUUCUCCACGAAGAAGCAAACUGCAAGCAUUUUUACAGCCGUCUUUUAAACCCACAGGGACUGAAUGGUGAUUGUGGCAAAGUCUUUCUUCUUAACUGGUUUUGGCUGAGUCAGGUGGAGUUCAUGUCAGAUGAAAACCAUUUACAGUCGUUAAAAUUCCUCAGUCUUGUCCAGUGUUGCUGAACUUUGUCUGGAUAUUCUCUCUCUCUCUCCCCUCAGUAUGUGACAUGAGUCAGGGCAUCCAGUCAGACACCCACAGCAGAUGAUGACCCCAGUUAAUCUGUCUUUUCUGCUGUUUUAGCUCUUCGUGUUCCGUUUGUGUAAGCAAAAGCUAACCUGGUUGACUCAUCUCCAUGAGUUUCACUGCUUUGAACAAAAGUGAAUAAAUUUAACUUCCCUUUAUUGUCUCAUAACUGAGGUCUGCUUCCUGUUUUCUGACCUUUACCCCCCCAUUUUCAUGCUCAUAAGGCCAUGACAGCACACAGUUUGGACCACAGUCAUGCUGACUCCAUCACUGCUCCUUCAUACUGUGUCAUUUACUGCGUGUCAGCCCUCGACUGGGCUGUUUGCUCUCCUCGUCUUUUCUCCCUGCUCUUCUAUCAGCUGAUUCUGUUUGCUUCCUCCUAAAGCAAAUUUACUCUGUGAUGUGUCUCUCAUGUGUUUGAAAGCCUCACAAGAGCAGGCUUGUCUUUGGCAAAGUCGUAUACCUGUAAAAGACACGCCAGCCCCACAGUUCCCUCUUUCAUCAUCACCGUUUCAUCUUUGCUCUCGAAAAACAACACUUUUUUUGAGGGAGGCUUUUUUCCCCCUCACUGUAUUUUUGUACAGCAUUUCACCAAGCGAACUGCAAAAGUCUGAAGCAGGGAGUGAAGCACUUUGUGGCUGUUUGGGAGGAAUGGGAGGAAUGAGGAUCAGGAUCCAGGCAGGCGGCCGCCCAGAGAGACAGGCAGAGAAAAAGUCCAGAGAACGUUGAAUUUGGCUCACAACAGAAAACUUUCACAGCCUUGGAGUUAAAGGACAACUGAUGAGGUCGUCACACUGACUGAGUGGACGAGGGUUGAAGUGACCUGACUGAUCCAGGUGACGUCUGGUUCAGUUGCUGUGGGAACCAGUGAUCUUCGACAUUCUCCGCUGGAAUGAAAACUUUACCUGGAAGGAAGUUCAUCAGCCUAAAAAUAAACUCUGCACAUCCACAAAGACUGCCGCCGUCCUGUCCCACAGCAACAUCAGCUGCUGCACCUUCCUCCACCGUCAUCCUGUGUGUUUUCCACUCAGCCCAGUGAAGCUCUUCACUGCACUCAUUAUUGUUUUGGGGGUUUUGUUAGCCUGCACUUUGGUGUUGAUUUUGAAGUGUGCUCUGAGCACCUCUGUUGGUCCAAAGGUCAACACAUCACAACACAUUAAGAUAUCUUCAGCCUUCACCCCGAUACAGUGGAGAUUGUGGCUCAGGAUGCGGUGCCUCCACACAUAAAACUGAAACACUCAGCGUGGCUCCACACCAGCUCCACUGGUGUUGGAGGGAGAGAAAAAUAGCUUCCAUUCAUCUUCCCCACACGACUUUGCAGGGUGAAUUAGGGAAUCUGACUUUGUGUUUUGACUUUGAGGUGGUUUGUUUGUCUCGAACUGUUCUGCUCGCACAGCGUUCAGGCAGGACUUCGUACAAAAUACAUUUCAGUAUUUAAACAUUUUGAUAUCAAAAUUGCUGACUUGAAUGAUUUACUUCAUUCAGGGAAAUUUGACUUUUUUGCUCAAAAUUCUGCAUUCCCACUUUUAAAUGUCGUCGCGUCUUUAAUCAAAAUUUUGAGGAAUUUCUGAACUUCCUGUUUUGUUUUCUGAAAUCAGAGCUUUUUAUUUAUUCUUAAUUCAUUCCUGACCUUUAAAAUUCUGAGCUUAAUAUGAUAAAUCAAAUACUUUUUCAUUUGGCCUUAAUCAUCCUCAAUUGCAGAAUAACUUCUGCAAGAAGUGUCAUAUUAUCCUUUAAUUUAGCACAAUGUCAAACCUUUUCAAAAAGAAAAGAAAAGGUCAGCUUCCCUUGUUAUCCUUUCUGCACUUUACAAACUCUCUAACGUCUGAUUGUCCUACAGCUGUGAUGUGAAACUGGAAGGAUUUCAUCCCAGAGUGUUUUUUUGGGGGGGAAAUGUUGAAAUGAAUGAUUUAAGGGCUGAAACAGUAAAUGAAGACUUCUUUUUUACAAAGCAGACAAUAUACAGAAUUUGAGCUGGAAAAUGUUUGUUUUUGCAUCUUGACUGAGGAUUUUUUGUGUGUUUCACGUACUGUACCUUUAAUGUUACUUAUUGUAGGCAGAUGUCUCAUUUUGGGAUCAAACUCUUCAGCUCUUUGUUCUCGUGAAUGUAUCUGUACAAAUGCAUCCACCAUGUCGUUCACUUCUCACAAACGCUCACCUCUUUUAAAUCCUUCUCUGCCUCCCCAAGCAACGAAUUUGGAACCAGACAUGCUGCCCAAAAGCUUUUCUUUCUGUUGCCUCAAAUGCUUUCAAUAGAGAGCAAAGCCUGUGGGCGGGCAUGUUUUUCCCCUCGCUCUGUACAGUUGCUGGAUGUCUCUGGAGAGUCUGUUGGAUUAUGGAGAGGAUUUCUGUUGGAUGUCAGUGAAAUAAAGAAGACUUGUUUUUUUUAAAGCACUGAAAGGCUCUCCUGUUGCAUCAACCAAUCACAAAGCCUGCAGCACCCUUAAGUGGUGUUUAUAUGCAUUAGUAACAGUAGACAUGUCAGACUGUAAGCUGUGCAUAAUAGAUUAUUGCAUCAUUUCAGUGGAAAGAGAGAACGUCUGUGAGGGUAAAAGCCUUUUCACACACACUUGGCCUACUUUGUCAUCUAAAUGAAGAGUGUUGCACAACCUGUGGGGCUUUACUCUCUGCGAUGAGCUUUCUUAUGAGGUGUGUGGUGCCACCAGCUGAUGGAGGCGAGACAAGAUGAACUUUGAGAUGCUGCCACGUCGUAGGUAGAAGGGCAGCAGAGGAGAGAUUUAGAACAGCAACGAAGUGACGAAGGGUCACGACAGCCAGGCUCACGGGGGUGAUGGCUCCAGGCGAAAAGCUGAGGUUUAGGUUGCCAAAGUUAUUGCAGUUCAUCGUGAACGGAAACGUGAAUGUCUGUUUCAGAUCUCAUAGCAAAUCAAUAUCAUCCAUCCAACGAGACACAUGACUGAAAACCACAAACGUCACGCUCGAGUGACCAUGAAUAUCUGAAACAAACUUCUUUGAAAGCAUCCUGAUAGUUUUGAAGAUAUUUCAGUCUGGAGCAAUGAGGCACUGAGUACUACACUGCAGCUUCAGUCACUGGCCUAAUAGCUAUCCUGCAUUUUUUGAACAUUCUUACCAAAUCUGCCGUAGUUUGUCCACUUUGGAACAACUUGAGAGGGAAAAAACUGCUUUUCACCAAGGCGACCUCACACCACUUUAAAGAACAUUUCACGUGUUGUUUCUACGCAUUUAAAGCUUUUUAUUUGUCAUUAAACGCCAUUCAAAUUUUAUGACCUUUGGACAAAGUCAGGUGACCUUUGUUGUCAUGGAAACAGUAAUGAACACGUGCUCAGCAUGUUAUUCACACACCAUUUGAUGACUAAGGUUAAAGGACACCUAAGAUUGUGUGUACAUGUUAUGGGACAAGACAGGAUGCAGAGAACUGCAGGCUGUUUUCAUGCUGCCUGACGUUCCACAUUGAUGAUGCACUGGAACGUCUUGUUCUGAACUGCAGUAGGCAGGCAGAUUCCUGCAUGGAGCUGAAAUAAGUGGUGAAAAGUGCAUGUCUGGACUUGCUGAGCCUUACAUAAGAGCUUGAUGUAAUCUCAUCAGACGUGACCAGGCCUUGGAAUAAUAUGUGAGGUUCAGGAGAUGGAAGGAGGUCAGGCGCUGGCUCGACUCCAAGCUUUUCCUGAUGACACGCCACAGCACAAAGACGUGAAGACAUGCUGUGGGGCGUUUUCACAUGACACACAUACAGAGCACACAGUGUACAGGCCUGCUGAGUGGGCUUUAGGGCAUCUCUGCAGAUCACAUCCAGUCAGCGGUAACCCUUUCCUUUCCUUUAUUUUCCUCCUUCUGUAUGUUAGAUUUCAUCUGAAUUUCAUCAUUAUAUAACAUAGUGCCAGUCUGAAUUAGAUGCUAAUGCAAACUCAUGUUUAGCUGUUUGUUGCCUCAACAGAUUUAGUGCAACGCUUAAUAUUUCCUCAGUUGUAUUUCCAUCAGGACAUCCAAAGAGUCAUGUGGCACUCAGCUCCCUACUUCUCUGACUUCCUGCUGUAACACUGCUGUGUUCACUCACCUGUGGAGGGAAGUAACUAAAGGCUUUACAGUCAGUUCUGUUUGAGGUAGUCAUACUUUAACCCUGUUUUCAUAUUUUAUGCCACUUUGUACUUCUAGUCAACACAUGGCAGAGAGACAUUCUGUCAGCUGUGGAUACAAGCUGGCCUGUGUUUUAAUCGCAGAGUUUUCCUCAGCCUGUUCAUCACCCUCACUGCCCUCACCUGUGCGUGUCCACCUGAACCCCAUUCCCUCGUCAGUCCAGUUUGUAUUUUAGCCCAGUUUGGGUUCAGUUCUUUGUCAGGUCACUCUGCUCUGCUCGUCGUGCAUCAGGGUCAUGAAGUGAAUGAGAAACCAACAAGCCUUCGUAAAGCAACUGACAAAAUAGGCUGAAUGAAUUUACAUCUGUUUGCAGUCGUUUUUCUGUCCACCAGGCAAAUAUUCUGCCUUCCUCUCCUCUGUUUUUGGCCUCCACGAACUCCUGAGGGAAAUGAGAGGCUCUGCAGCGUCUAAAUGAUGCACUUUGUUCACCAGCGACUCAGUGACUGCGUCUGCCUGCUGCUGUGCUGUGGGCUGUUUACAGCUGAAAUCACUGCUGUCUGCCUGUUACGAUGAAAACACCGAUUACAGCCUCUUGAAAGAAAAAUUCUCACAGUUUAGAACACAAAGUUUACUCAAAACCGAGCCUCUAAUAUUUCUGUGAAAUUUCCCACCACAUCUGCAAGUUGAAAGAGAUGCUGAUGAGCAGGAUGAGGGUGAAAAAGAAACUGAAAUGAGAACGAGGCUGUGCUGCUCAUCAGAUUCAAAUGCCUUUUCACUUUAACAUGCUGAAAUAAUGAAGAGACAGAAUGAAACUGUGUGUGUUGUUUCAUGUUUGAGGAACAGCACAGCUCUCAGCAAACUGAUUGUUUGGAAUGAAUGUUAUCUGUCGGAAGUCCUUAUUUAUGUAGUAUUUUGUGUCCGUGUUACGUAAAGGACUCUCACGCAGGAUGGACAUUCUGAUGGCGUGACACGGAAACACAAAGUGAAUUCAUUCAUUCAUUCAGAGUGUAACUAUGUACAGGACAGGCGUGUCUUUUCUGAAGUUUAUUUUUUGUCAGUCAUGUUUAAAGUGUUCUCAGAUUAUGUUGUCUGUCUGAAAGUCUAAAUGAAAUAAAAAUAUUUGCGUAAAACAUAUCUGUUUUUUUAUU